UCACCCCUCAAGCCCUGUGCUUGGUGUUGGACGGCCGGUCGAGCGAUCGACCCCUCCUAAAGACAAUGACGGCGGCCUGCGGUUCCCCGGUACACUGAGCUUUUUACGGAGCACGUAUCGGACAAGGGCACCCGGGACCCGGUCCUCUCCUUUCACAAGGAAACUUCUAU
rnacentral:misc_RNA from 1 species